AAAAAGACAAACCCUGAGUUUCCGUGUCUAACUUUAACUGUCCGUCUUAUAUGAAAUUUUUUUAUAAUUCAUAUUUUCAUUGUUGUUAGAUGAUAAAACAUGAUUAAUAUUUUAUGCGUGACUUGUCUUUUCAAUUUUUUUCAUAAUUUUUUCAAAUAAGACGGACGGUCAAACAUUGGGCACGGAAAUUAGGGUUUGUCUUUUU
rnacentral:pre_miRNA from 1 species